AGAGUUUGAUCCUGGCUCAGGACGAACGCUGGCGGCGUGCCUAAUACAUGCAAGUCGAGCGGGCUUUAUCCUUCGGGGUAAGGCUAGCGGCGGACGGGUGAGUAAUACGUAGGCAACCUGCCCUUCGGAUCGGGAUAACUACCGGAAACGGUAGCUAAAACCGGAUAGGUGAUUCGGCCGCAUGGCUGGAUCGGGAAACA
rnacentral:rRNA from 1 species